ensembl:lncRNA
CACUGUUCCUGGAGGUGUUCAAGAAAUAUGGAGAUGUGGUACUAAGGAACGUGGUUUAGAUAGACAUACCACAAGAUGGGCACAUACCUGAAUGGACUGAACAAUGGAUCUUUUUUUGGUGGGCGCCUCACAACAAUUACCUGGACUUUGUGGACUGAGGAAGCAACUGUAUAUACGGAUGGGAGACAAGCUGGGUGCUCAUCAGGAGGAAACAGCUUUCAGUGGCUUCCAGAUGGGGCCCUUUCCCACCUGUACACCCUAGGACGCUGAAAACUACUGCAAGCCAGGAGGCCUCACACAGGAACUCAACAACCCUAGCAAGAAUAUAAUUGCCUUCAGAGCUAGCAGUACCGGCAUGAGAGACUGCCUUCAGUAGGAACAGACUUUCCACCAUCUCACGCCUCACCCAGGUGCAUGACUUCGUUUGCAAAGGCCCAAGGGAGUGAAACAGCUCUGUAAGGCCUUAGGAGAAGGGAAAUUGCUAUCAGACUCCUGUUGAUUCCACAGCCCACCAAGGACGCUGCUGGCUUCUACAGGCCAUCCCCCAUCUGUUGGAAUAGCGGGAAGUUUUGCUUUAGCAAUAAAAAAUAAAAAAUGCUGGAGUCCAACUGGUGACUGAAGUCUGGUGCCAGGCUCUGCUGCAGAGACAUCACAGCUGCCUACAGUGCCUGCUCUGAAAGAGGUGCUCAUUAAACAUUUGCCUUGGGUUUAUUUUCCCUGUUUGCUGUACCCAAGCAUUCACAACAAAAAUUCCAUAAGGGAGAGCUGCA